GCCGGCUCGAACGCUUCUGUUUCCGUCCGAGCGGGCUGGCUAACGGCGGCAGAGCUCAAAUGAAUAUAUGGCUGAAUGGCGAAGGAGGCUGUGACAAAGGAACCGUAGGAACUUUAAACAUCUACAAAGUUUUUGGUUUUUUUGUUAACACAUGAUGUCAUCACAGAGCCACCAGAGAUUAUAAUAUUCAAUGUUUAGGCUUUGUUUGUGUUUACAUCUAUCAUAUCAUAUUUGCAUAAAUAAAUGAUAUACAUGCAUUUAACUUUUGUCCUGGCAUAAAGAACGCAACAUUUUAGUUCACUUCAAACAUUCAUGUAAUCAAACCGUAGCCGUCCUCGUUAGCGUAGCAUACACAGGAAGUCAGCUAUUCUGUUUUCUGGGUUUGAUCACAUGAUGUUCCGCAUAUAGCGGAUUGCCACUUGUUACAUGAAGAGUGUCUGCAUAACUCGCUCCGGCAUAUGAUGAGAUCAGAGGAGCCUGGUCAUCUAAGUAAUGGCUUUCCUUCGGUUGAUUCCUCCUGGGUCCACGGCCCUGCAUGCAGUGAUGUAUGCUCCACGCAACACCACUGGACAGCUCAUCUCUCUCAGCCACAGGCACCACUGAAGGUCCUUUGGUCCAGUGUGGUUACUGUCAACCCUCGCUCUAUACAGCCAUGCCCUCCUACAUGGGCAUGUAUGCGCCACACAGGUCAGCGAUGUGCUGUCCAGCAGAACUCGGGUGAAGGAUCAGGCUGUCCUCCUAGGUGGCUGCCCGGCAGAACACAUCAUCUUGUGCUUCCUGCUCUCCAGGGUCAUUCCAGCCAGCCCUUCAGCAGCCGCAACACCAGGCAGCGCUCAAGGUGGGUGGAGGGGUGAGCAAUGGGAGGCGCUUAGAGGACUGAAACGGAUGUGGAGCUGCGAGUGGAACACCUCCUCUUACUACAGCUCAGCAAGCAGCUGCUGGACAUGAUGCCUCUUUCCGUUGUCCAUCUAUCCUCCUUCCCGGUGCGUGUGUCUUGCGUGUCAGUCCACUUGUGUGUGGGGAAAAAAAGUCCCUCCUCUUCAGUGAUGAUGCUGCCUGCUGCUGCUGGUGGCUCCGGGAUGCUGAGGCAAUUUGAAUGAGAAAAAGACACAGACAUAGCGAGAGAGUGAGAGAGCACCAGAAAGAGAGAGAGAGCAGGAGCGUAGAGGUAAAGCGGAAGGAGGGAGCAAGGGUUUAAGAGCAAAAAGGCAGGAUAAAUAAGAUAUAGAGAAAAGAGAAUGAUCUGCCCCACCCCGCUCUACCUAUCUAUACCAAUCAGUCAGGCAGUGUCAGAGUUAAUGGAUCACCAAUUCCCAUGACAGUGAGUGUGGCACAUAACAGCACCAUGUGCAGUCACAGUGCACGUUACCUAUUUGUACGUUGAAUGCAAUUCCUUCCAUGAGCAAUGCAUGUGGAAGCGAAUACACUUCUGCAUUAAUACAGUAUGUCCUUGUAGCUAAAUCACCAGGGGAAUGAUGUAUUUACAGUAACAUUAAACCAAAAAGAUAAAAGAUGAUACAGUUAAAGUAGGUCCAUCUAUUUAGACAAUGACUGGUUUUAUGAUUGCCUUACAGUCGUACCUUGACUCACAAGUUUAUUUCUUUUCUUGGAAAAGCAAAUCCAUCGGCUCAUAUUUUCGAGUAGAAUAGAAAAUACUUAAUUGUUAUUGUAUGGUGCAGGGUAAGAAUAAUCAGAUAAUAAUAAUAAUGUAUACUGGCAGGAUCAGGAUCACUGGUCAUUGCCCAUGGCUCGAGAGUUUCUCGAUUCUCAUGAUGGGAGCUUCCCGAUGAAAGCAGCUGGCCGGCCGGAGCCAAGCAGCGCAGAGCGGGAAGGAAGACGGAGCUUCGACCACUGCAAACACUUUAGUUGUGAUGGGGAAAUUGUCUCGGCAAAAAUUAACUUUCGAUCUCCUUUGUAGUUCUCCACAUACGCAGCUUUGACCAUAGUGAGCAGCACGCCACAGUGUUGGCUGGAGGAGCUCUCGCUUCGUCUUUAAAAAGUAAAAACAUCUGAUGCCAUUUCUGUGUCAAAAGGUACUAGCACCAAUCUAUUGAAUACAGUUUACCUAUUACAAAAUCCCUGGUUAUCACACAUUUAAUGACAGAGAUAAUUUUUCUGUCAGGUGGUGCCCCAGUAGCUUGGAACAUAUUGACGGUGGAACCUGUUACACCCAACUGACCUUUCCACUGGAAACGUUUAGUAUUGCAUCUGGUUCCUUUGAAUCCCUGAAAAUGUAAGAACUCUUGAUACAAUGGCUGUAAAUCGUCAUAUUUGUGUGACAAUGAAGGUCUUCAAUUUUAUUUCAAAUCGGUUGUGGUACUGUAUAAAAGCAGAAUCACUGUCAUUGUCCAAAUCCUUCACACCUAACCGUGUGUUGAAGCUAAUGCAGACUUCUUUGAGUAUUCUGUCUAUUCUGCUUAUGAUCGCAUCGAUUAAAAAGAGUUGAAUGAUAGAACUGAAAGGAAUGCAGAUAAGGCUUCUGAAAUGAGAGCUGAGUAUGCAGCCACUAAUCUCCAUCGGAUAAAAAGCAAGGACAUUUUCAAAGAACAGGAGGAGCAUAGAGUACUAAACAACCACUUCAUCUUCCUGUUUUGAGGCAAAAGGAUAAAUAAAGAUAAGGCUUCUCCUUGGAUUUGCAUUCCACUUGGUACUACCCCUUCAGCAAAAUGCCUCCCUGACGGACUCUGUCCCAUCCAAAAUUAAAAGAGCCUUUGGUUUAGUUUCAAUUUGGGAUUUAUGUAGGAAGAGCAGUUCAAGCAGUCGUUAGCCCUGUCAAUAUGACAAGAGAAGCCCAUCGACAGAUUCUCAGUCUGUCAACUCUAGACAUGCUUUACUUGCAGGAAGCUUGGGCCUACAGGCACGUUUUCUUGCAACAUUUGUUGAAGAGACUUGCAGUGGCUUGUGUUCAAGUUCACACCAAUUUUGAUGCUAAACAACCUGAGUAUUCUACCACCUGCUGUUUUACUCAAACGUCCUCUGAAGGAUAAAAGCAUGAUCUUUUGAACCAGUUAAUUCCUACCAGGUAAAAGAUGCACACUUUUUGGGGAGGAAUAAAUAAAUAGAGGGUCAGGUACUGAGUAAGAAUAAUUCCAAACUCCCAAUGUGUCAAGUCUUAAUUGUGUGUUGUAGCCACACUCAUUCCAAAAGAGGAACAGGCCUGUGCUGACCUGGUGUCUGCUUUAGAUGCUCUGAUGUGUUCACCUCGCUGUAAUCUGCUGCUCAAUCAGGCUUUAGGUGUGAAUCAAGGGUGGGACUGAUCCCACGGCGCAUCACUGUGCAAGGGUAAUUAUGCAUGAGGAAGAAGGUUAGUACAGUGUUGGAUGAAGGAAUAGACCUGAAAUCACCCUGCCUCACCUCUGGGACUGAAAUGCACUUGUAGCAUCAGGAGAUGGGUUGACUGAUGGCCACGGACGUAAAAAGCUUUGGAGAAUACAACAUUUUGGAAAAUAAAAUAAAUAGUGUCAUAGUGGAAGAAGCUGUAAUGAUCAUAAUUCAGCUUUAUAUCAGUCACCUUGAGACAUUUGCCUUGCAGCCCUUUCCUACUGUCUGGCUUGUGUCACCUGUGGUCCUGGACCAACCCGUGAUGGCCUCCCCCUCAGAAUGACAAUCAUGAAUGAUUAUGUCGAGAGACAGAUAAGUGAUGAGCUAAAUAAUGUGAAGUAGUCAUACACCUUGUCAUGUAACCAUGAUGAAAAUAAAAGGUCUGCUGGAAGUGUUUACAGAAAAUGGAUGGAUGUCUUAGAAACUAGAAAAAGUCACUUAAAAGUCUUUACUUCAACUAUAGUGUGUGGGGGGGAUUCUUCUGUACGGUAUAUAUUUAAGCCUUUUUUUAAUAACAAACUACUACGCCUGUUGUUGCUGAAAAUAUCUGAUGAUCAAGAAAUUAGUCUGCUGAAAAAAACAACAGUGGAUUAACUGAGACUCGAUAAAGUGCAUAUUUGUGAAAAGCGUGUUGGAUUUUGCCAUGCUGGUGCAUCCACCUAAAAUACAUUUGGGCUGAGUAAAUUUUAGGAAUUCAUUAAAUUACAAUCCCCAAUUCCAAUAAAAUUGAGAUGUUGUGUAAAAACAGAAUAUAAUG